rnacentral:rRNA from 1 species
AGAGUUUGAUUCUGGCUCAGAACGAACGCUGGCGGCGUGGAUAAGACAUGCAAGUCGAACGAGAGAAUUGCUAGCUUGCUAAUAAUUCUCUAGUGGCGCACGGGUGAGUAACACGUGAGUAACCUGCCCCCGAGAGCGGGAUAGCCCUGGGAAACUGGGAUUAAUACCGCAUAGUAUCGAAAGAUUAAAGCAGCAAUGCGCUUGGGGAUGGGCUCGCGGCCUAUUAGUUAGUUGGUGAGGUAACGGCUCACCAAGGCGAUGACGGGUAGCCGGUCUGAGAGGAUGUCCGGCCACACUGGAACUGAGACACGGUCCAGACACCUACGGGUGGCAGCAGUCGAGAAUCAUUCACAAUGGGGGAAACCCUGAUGGUGUGACGCCGCGUGGGGGAAUGAAGGUCUUCGGAUUGUAAACCCCUGUCAUGUGGGAGCAAAUUAAAAAGAUAGUACCACAAGAGGAAGAGACGGCUAACUCUGUGCCAGCAGCCGCGGUAAUACAGAGGUCUCAAGCGUUGUUCGGAAUCACUGGGCGUAAAGCGUGCGUAGGCUGUUUCGUAAGUCGUGUGUGAAAGGCGCGGGCUCAACCCGCGGACGGCACAUGAUACUGCGAGACUAGAGUAAUGGAGGGGGAACCGGAAUUCUCGGUGUAGCAGUGAAAUGCGUAGAUAUCGAGAGGAACACUCGUGGCGAAGGCGGGUUCCUGGACAUUAACUGACGCUGAGGCACGAAGGCCAGGGGAGCGAAAGGGAUUAGAUACCCCUGUAGUCCUGGCAGUAAACGGUGCACGCUUGGUGUGCGGGGAAUCGACCCCCUGCGUGCCGGAGCUAACGCGUUAAGCGUGCCGCCUGGGGAGUACGGUCGCAAGAUUAAAACUCAAAGAAAUUGACGGGGACCCGCACAAGCGGUGGAGUAUGUGGCUUAAUUCGAUGCAACGCGAAGAACCUUACCUGGGCUUGACAUGUAAUGAACAACAUGUGAAAGCAUGCGACUCUUCGGAGGCGUUACACAGGUGCUGCAUGGCCGUCGUCAGCUCGUGUCGUGAGAUGUUGGGUUAAGUCCCGCAACGAGCGCAACCC